rnacentral:rRNA from 1 species
UGGCUUAGAAGCAGCCACCAUUUAAAGAGUGCGUAAUAGCUCACUAGUCGAGUGACGCUGCGCCGAAAAUGUACCGGGGCUAAGCAUAGUACCGAAACUGUGGAUGCAUAUCAAAGGAUAUGCGUGGUAGGAGAGCGUUCUAAGUGCGGAGAAGUUAGAUCGAGAGGACUAAUGGAGCGCUUAGAAGUGAGAAUGCCGGUAUGAGUAGCGAAAGAUAGGUGAGAAUCCUAUCCGCCGAAAGACUAAGGUUUCCUGGGGCAGGCUCGUCCGCCCAGGGUAAGUCGGGACCUAAGGUAAGGCCGAGAGGCGUAGCCGAUGGACAACAGGUAGAGAUUCCUGUACUGAAAUUGUUCGAUAAGAGCAAAGGAGGGACGCAGGAGGCUAAUGACGCAUGUAGCAGGAAAAACAUGUGCAAGCAGUAAGAAAAAAGAUGAGUCAAAUGCUUAUUUUUAGAUUUCAAGCUGUGACGCGGAGUGAAAUCAAAGUAGCGAAGGUCAUGAUGUCACACUGCCAAGAAAAGCUUCUAGCCAGAGCAAUUUUACCCGUACCGCAAACCGACACAGGUAGUCGAGUGGAGAACACUCAGGUGAGCGAGAGAACUCUCGUUAAGGAACUCGGCAAAAUGACCCCGUAACUUCGGGAGAAGGGGUGCUGAGCGCAAGCUCAGCCGCAGUGAAUAGGCCCAGGCGACUGUUUAUCAAAAACACAGGUUUCUGCAAAAUCGUAAGAUGAAGUAUAGGGGCUGACGCCUGCCCGGUGCUGGAAGGUUAAAAGGAAGAGUUAGCUUCGGCGAAGCCCUGAAUUGAAGCCCCAGUAAACGGCGGCCGUAACUAUAACGGUCCUAAGGUAGCGAAAUUCCUUGUCGGGUAAGUUCCGACCCGCACGAAAGGCGUAACGAUCUGGGCACUGUCUCAACGAGAGACUCGGUGAAAUUAUAAUACCCGUGAAGAUGCGGGUUACCCGCGACAGGACGGAAAGACCCCAUGGAGCUUUACUGUAGCUUGAUAUUGAGUGCUUGUACUGCUUGUACAGGAUAGGUAGGAGCCAUAGAAGCCAGGACGCUAGUUUUGGCAGAGGCGUUGGUGGGAUACUACCCUUGCAUUAUGAUCACUCUAACCCGCACCACUGAUCGUGGUGGGAGACAGUGUCAGGUGGGCAGUUUGACUGGGGCGGUCGCCUCCCAAAAGAUAACGGAGGCGCCCAAAGGUUCGCUCAGAAUGGUUGGAAAUCAUUCGCAGAGUGUAAAGGCACAAGCGAGCUUGACUGCGAGACAGACAGGUCGAGCAGGGACGAAAGUCGGGCUUAGUGAUCCGGUGGUUCCGCAUGGAAGGGCCAUCGCUCAACGGAUAAAAGCUACCCUGGGGAUAACAGGCUUAUCUCCCCCAAGAGUCCACAUCGACGGGGAGGUUUGGCACCUCGAUGUCGGCUCAUCGCAUCCUGGGGCUGUAGUCGGUCCCAAGGGUUGGGCUGUUCGCCCAUUAAAGCGGUACGCGAGCUGGGUUCAGAACGUCGUGAGACAGUUCGGUCCCUAUCCGUCGCGGGCGUAGGAAAUUUGAGAGGAUCUGUCCUUAGUACGAGAGGACCGGGAUGGACAUACCGCUGGUGUACCAGUUGUUCCGCCAGGAGCAUCGCUGGGUAGCUAUGUAUGGAUGAGAUAAACGCUGAAAGCAUCUAAGUGUGAAACUCGCCUCAAGAUGAGAUUUCCCAUUCCUUUGGAAGUAAGACCCCACAGAGAUGAUGUGGUAGAUAGGAUGGAAGUGGAAGUGCGGUGACGCAUGGAGCGGACCAUUACUAAUCGGUCGAGGACUUAACCAA